GUACACGCUGUGACUAGCAUAUCAAUAAGCGGAGGAAAAGAAACUAACAAGGAUUCCCUUAGUAACGGCGAGUGAAGCGGGAAGAGCUCAAAUUUGCAAUCUUCAAGGUUUUACCUUGACGAAUUGUAGUUUAAAGAAGUGUUUUCUGCUGAAGUUUUGGUAAAAGUUCUUUGGAAUAGGACAUCAUAGAGGGUGAGAAUCCCGUAUUUGACCAUUAUUUUCAGCUUUGUGAUACACUUUCAAAGAGUCGGAUUGUUUGGGAAUGCAGUCCAAAAUGGGUGGUAAAUUUCAUCUAAAGCUAAAUAUUGGCGAGAGACCGAUAGGCGAACAAGUACCGUGAGGGAAAGAUGAAAAGAACUUUGAAAAGAGAGUUAAACAGUACGUGAAAUUGUCAAAAGGGAAGCGUUUGACACCAGUGUUGUUUUCUCGAAAAUCAAUUAAAAAUGGCUCGAUUUUGUAUUGCUGAGACCUUAAAAGCUCACUGUACAUUUUUCGUGUCUUUUUUAAUGCACUUUUCGUUUAACAAGUCAACAUCAGUUUCUUUUGUUGUAAAAGGGUCAUUGGAAGGUGGCUUUCUUUUCGGAGAAAGUGUUUAUAGCCUUUGGCCUCUGCAAUCGGAGAGACUGAGGUCUGCAGCGUAGACUCUUCGGGGUUAGAUACAUUUGUGCUAAGUUAUAGCUUUUUAUAGACAACUUGUUGACUAUAAUUAGUCUUGUAGCUUACUCGCUUAUGCUAUUUUACCUACGCUUAGGAUGUUGAGUAGCGACAUACGCAC
rnacentral:rRNA from 1 species